ACGCACGCUGGCGGCGUGCUUAACACAUGCCAGUCGAACGGAAAGGCCCUGCUUUUGUGGGGUGCUCGAGUGGCGAACGGGUGAGUAACACGUGAGUAACCUGCCCUUGACUUUGGGAUAACUUCAGGAAACUGGGGCUAAUACCGGAUAGGAGCUCCUGCUGCAUGGUGGGGGUUGGAAAGUUUCGGCGGUUGGGGAUGGACUCGCGGCUUAUCAGCUUGUUGGUGGGGUAGUGGCUUACCAAGGCUUUGACGGGUAGCCGGCCUGAGAGGGUGACCGGCCACAUUGGGACUGCGAUACGGCCCAGACUCCUACGGGAGGCAGCAGUGGGGAAUAUUGCACAAUGGGCGGAAGCCUGAUGCAGCAACGCCGCAUGCGGGAUGACGGCCUUCGGGUUGUAAACCGCUUUCGCCUGUGACGAAGCGUGAGUGACGGUAAUGGGUAAAGAAGCACCGGCUAACUACGUG
rnacentral:rRNA from 1 species